GUGGGGAAUAUUGGACAAUGGGGGGAACCCUGAUCCAGCGACGCCGCGUGAGUGAAGAAGUAUUUCGGUAUGUAAAGCUCUGUCAGCAGGGAAGAAAUCAUGACGGUACCUGACCAAGAAGCCCCGGCUAACUACGUGCCAGCAGCCGCGGUAAUACGUAGGGGGCAAGCGUUAUCCGGAAUUACUGGGUGUAAAGGGAGCGUAGACGGUUAAGUAAGUCUGGAGUGAAAGGCUGGGGCCCAACCCCGGGACUGCUCUGGAAACUAUUUAACUUGAGUGCAGGAGAGGUAAGCGGAAUUCCUAGUGUAGCGGUGAAAUGCGUAGAUAUUAGGAGGAACACCAGUGGCGAAGGCGGCUUACUGGACUGUAACUGACGUUGAGGCUCGAAAGCGUGGGGAGCAAACAGGA
rnacentral:rRNA from 1 species